rnacentral:rRNA from 1 species
GAUGAACGCUGGCGGCGUGCCUAAUACAUGCAAGUCGAGCGAACAGAUGAGGAGCUUGCUCCUCUGACGUUAGCGGCGGACGGGUGAGUAACACGUGGAUAACCUACCUAUAAGACUGGGAUAACUUCGGGAAACCGGAGCUAAUACCGGAUAAUAUAUUGAACCGCAUGGUUCAAUAGUGAAAGACGGUUUUGCUGUCACUUAUAGAUGGAUCCGCGCCGCAUUAGCUAGUUGGUAAGGUAACGGCUUACCAAGGCAACGAUGCGUAGCCGACCUGAGAGGGUGAUCGGCCACACUGGAACUGAGACACGGUCCAGACUCCUACGGGAGGCAGCAGUAGGGAAUCUUCCGCAAUGGGCGAAAGCCUGACGGAGCAACGCCGCGUGAGUGAUGAAGGUCUUCGGAUCGUCAAACUCUGUUAUUAGGGAAGAACAAAUGUGUAAGUAACUAUGCACGUCUUGACGGUACCUAAUCAGAAAGCCACGGCUAACUACGUG